rnacentral:rRNA from 1 species
GAUUAGCUAGUUGGUGGGGUAACGGCUCACCAAGGCGACGAUCAGUAGCUGGUCUGAGAGGAUGAUCAGCCUCACUGGGACUGAGACACGGCCCAGACUCCUACGGGAGGCAGCAGUGGGGAAUAUUGGACAAUGGGAGCAAGCCUGAUCCAGCCAUGCCGCGUGGGUGAUGAAGGCCCUAGGGUUGUAAAGCCCUUUCGGCGGGGAAGAUAAUGACGGUACCCGCAGAAGAAGCCCCGGCUAACUUCGUGCCAGCAGCCGCGGUAAUACGAAGGGGGCUAGCGUUGCUCGGAAUCACUGGGCGUAAAGCGCACGUAGGCGGAUUGUUAAGUCAGGGGUGAAAUCCUGGAGCUCAACUCCAGAACUGCCUUUGAUACUGACGGUCUUGAGUCCGGGAGAGGUGAGUGGAACUGCGAGUGUAGAGGUGAAAUUCGUAGAUAUUCGCAAGAACACCAGUGGCGAAGGCGGCUCACUGGCCCGGUACUGACGCU